AGAGUUUGAUCCUGGCUCAGAACGAACUCUGGCGGCGUGGAUAAGACAUGCAAGUCGAACGAGAGAAUUGCUAGCUUGCUAAUAAUUCUCUAGUGGCGCACGGGUGAGUAACACGUGAGUAACCUGCCCCCGAGAGCGGGAUAGCCCUGGGAAACUGGGAUUAAUACCGCAUAGUAUCGAAAGAUUAAAGCAGCAAUGCGCUUGGGGAUGGGCUCGCGGCCUAUUAGUUAGUUGGUGAGGUAACGGCUCACCAAGGCGAUGACGGGUAGCCGGUCUGAGAGGAUGUCCGGCCACACUGGAACUGAGACACGGUCCAGACACCUACGGGUGGCAGCAGUCGAGAAUCAUUCACAAUGGGGGAAACCCUGAUGGUGCGACGCCGCGUGGGGGAAUGAAGGUCUUCGGAUUGUAAACCCCUGUCAUGUGGGAGCAAAUUAAAAAGAUAGUACCACAAGAGGAAGAGACGGCUAACUCUGUGCCAGCAGCCUCGGUAAUACAGAGGUCUCAAGCGUUGUUCGGAAUCACUGGGCGUAAAGCGUGCGUAGGCUGUUUCGUAAGUCGUGUGUGAAGGGCGCGGGCUCAACCCGCGGACGGCACAUGAUACUGCGAGACUAGAGUAAUGGAGGGGGAACCGGAAUUCUCGGUGUAGCAGUGAAAUGCGUAGAUAUCGAGAGGAACACUCGUGGCGAAGGCGGGUUCCUGGACAUUAACUGACGCUGAGGCACGAAGGCCAGGGGAGCGAAAGGGAUUAGAUACCCCUGUAGUCCUGGCAGUAAACGGUGCACGCUUGGUGUGGGGGGAAUCGACCCCCUGCGUGCCGGAGCUAACGCGUUAAGCGUGCCGCCUGGGGAGUACGGUCGCAAGAUUAAAACUCAAAGAAAUUGACGGGGACCCGCACAAGCGGUGGAGUAUGUGGCUUAAUUCGAUGCAACGCGAAGAACCUUACCUGGCUUGACAUGUAAUGAACAACAUGUGAAAGCAUGCGACUCUUCGGAGGCGUUACACAGGCGCUGCAUGGCCGUCGUCAGCUCGUGUCGUGAGAUGUUUGGUUAAGUCCAGCAACGAGCGCAACCCCUGUUGCCAGUUACCAGCACGUGAAGGUGGGGACUCUGGCGAGACUGCCCAGAUCAACUGGGAGGAAGGUGGGGACGACGUCAGGUCAGUAUGGCCCUUAUGCCCAGGGCUGCACACGUACUACAAUGCCCAGUACAGAGGGGGCCGAAGCCGCGAGGCGGAGGAAAUCCUAAAAACUGGGCCCAGUUCGGACUGUAGGCUGCAACCCGCCUACACGAAGCCGGAAUCGCUAGUAAUGGCGCAUCAGCUACGGCGCCGUGAAUACGUUCCCGGGUCUUGUACACACCGCCCGUCA
rnacentral:rRNA from 1 species